UCCGAACUUAGUGUUUGUUGGUCACUCAGCAGGUAGGAGCUUAGUGUUUGUUGGUCACUCAGCAGGUAGGGGCUAAGUGUUUGUUGAUCACUCAGCAGGUAGGGGCUAAGUGUUUGUUGGUCACUUAACAGGUCGGAGCUAAGUGUUUGUUGGUCACUCAGCAGGUAGGAGCUUAGUGUUUGUUGGUCACUCAGCAGGUAGGGGCUAAGUGUUUGUUGAUCACUCAGCAGGUAGGGGCUAAGUGUUUGUUGGUCACUCAGCA